rnacentral:rRNA from 1 species
AUACGUAGGGUGCAAGCGUUAAUCGGAAUUACUGGGCGUAAAGCGUGCGCAGGCGGUUUUGUAAGACAGUGGUGAAAUCCCCGGGCUCAACCUGGGAACUGCCAUUGUGACUGCAAGGCUGGAGUGCGGCAGAGGGGGAUGGAAUUCCGCGUGUAGCAGUGAAAUGCGUAGAUAUGCGGAGGAACACCGAUGGCGAAGGCAAUCCCCUGGGCCUGUACUGACGCUCAUGCACGAAAGCGUGGGGAGCAAACAGGAUUAGAUACCCUGGUAGUCCACGCCCUAAACGAUGUCAACUGGUUGUUGGGUCUUCAUUGACUCAGUAACGAAGCUAACGCGUGAAGUUGACCGCCUGGGGAGUACGGCCGCAAGGUUGAAACUUAAAGGAAUUGACGGGG